CAUCUACUCCCUCUGUUCGGAAUUACUUGUCUCGAAAAUGGAUGUAUCUAGAUGUAUUUUAGUAUCUAGAUACAUCCAUUUCUGGGACAAGUAAUUCCGAACGGAGGGAGUAUAUC
rnacentral:pre_miRNA from 1 species